rnacentral:tRNA from 1 species
GGAGGCCAGAUGGCUCAGUGGUAGGGCAUCUGUUUGGCGUGCAGGUGGUUCCAGGUCAAUCCCUGGGAUCUCCA